AGGAUGAACGCUGGCGGCGUGCCUAACACAUGCAAGUCGAACGCUCUCCAUUCGGUAGCAAUACUGAUGAAGAGGGAGUGGCGAACGGGUGAGUACCACGUGAGCAACCUGCCCCGAAGACUGGGACAACACCGGGAAACCGGUGCUAAUACCGGAUAUCCCUAUCGGAUCGCAUGAUCUGAUAAGGAAAUGGAUUCCGCUUCGGGAGGGGCUCGCGGCCUAUCAGCUAGUUGGUGAGGUAAUAGCUCACCAAGGCAUCGACGGGUAGCUGGUCUGAGAGGACGAUCAGCCACACUGGGACUGAGACACGGCCCAGACUCCUACGGGAGGCAGCAGUGGGGAAUCUUGCGCAAUGGGCGAAAGCCUGACGCAGCAACGCCGCGUGGAGGACGAAUGCUUUCUGAGUUGUAAACUCCUUUCAGCAGGGACGAUUGUGACGGUACCUGCAGAAGAGCGACCGGCCAACUACGUGCCA
rnacentral:rRNA from 1 species